AGAGUUUGAUCAUGGCUCAGAACGAACGCUGGCGGCGUGCUUAACACAUGCAAGUCGAACGAGAAAGCUUUCUUCGGAAAGUGAGUAGAGUGGCGCACGGGUGAGUAACGCGUAGGUAAUCUAUCCUUACAUUUGGGAUAACAUCGGGAAACUGGUGCUAAUACCGAAUGGUCUUCAUUGCUUUGGGGCGAUGGAGUAAAGGUGGCCUCUUCAUGAAAGCUACCGUGUAGGGAUGAGCCUGCGUACCAUUAGCUAUAGGUGGGGUAAUGGCCCACCUAGGCUACGAUGGUUAGCGGGUCUGAGAGGAUGAUCCGCCACACUGGAACUGAAACACGGACCAGACUCCUACGGGAGGCAGCAGUGAGGAAUAUUGCGCAAUGGGGGAAACCCUGACGCAGCGACGCCGCGUGAGUGAGGAAGGUUUUCGGAUCGUAAAGCUCUGUCAGAAGGGAAGAAGUGUUAUAUGGUUAAUACCCGUAUAAUUUGACGGUACCUUCAGAGGAAGCACCGCUAACUCCGUGCCAGCAGCCGCGGUAAUACGGAGGGUGCAAGCGUUGUUCGGAAUUACUGGGCGUAAAGGGCGCGUAGGCGGCCUGAUAAGUCAGAUGUGAAAGUCCACGGCUCAACCGUGGAAGUGCAUUUGAAACUGUCAGGCUUGAGUAUCGGAGGGGAGUGUGGAAUUCCCGGUGUAGAGGUGAAAUUCGUAGAGAUCGGGAGGAACACCGGUGGCGAAGGCGACACUCUGGACGAAUACUGACGCUGAGGCGCGAAAGCGUGGGGAGCAAACAGGAUUAGAUACCCUGGUAGUCCACGCCGUAAACGAUGUGAACUAGGGAUAGGGGGUGUUGAUCCCUCCUGUCCCGCAGCUAACGCAUUAAGUUCACCGCCUGGGGAGUACGGUCGCAAGAUUAAAACUCAAAGGAAUUGACGGGGGCCCGCACAAGCGGUGGAGUAUGUGGUUUAAUUGCACGCAACGCGAAGAACCUUACCUGGACU
rnacentral:rRNA from 1 species